CGGAUGUCUAGCCACGCGAGUCAUUGUAGCAUACAAGGCAGACGGCUCAGUAACGCGUAGUCAAUCUACCCUAUGGGCGGGAAUAACCUCGGGAAACUGAGAAUAAUGCCCGAUAGAACAUUAUACCUGGAACGGUUUAUGUUUCAAAUGAUUUAUCGCCAUAGGAUGGGACUGCGGCCUAUCAGUUUGUUGGUGAGGUAAUGGCCCACCAAGACUAUUACAGGUACGGGCUCUGAGAGGAGUAGCCCGGAGAUGGGUACUGAGACACGGACCCAGGUCCUAUGGGGCGCAGCAGGCGAGAAAACUUUGCAAUGUGCGAAAGCACGACAAGGUUAAUCCGAGUGGUUUCUGCUAAAGAAACCUUUUGUCAGUCCUAGAAACACUAACGAAUAAGGGGUGGGCAAGUUCUGGUGUCAGCCGCCGCGGUAAAACCAGCACCUCAAGUGGUCAGGAUGAUUAUUGGGCCUAAAGCAUCCGUAGCCCGUUUUGUAAGUUUUCGGUUAAAUCCAUGCGCUUAACGUAUGGGCUGCCGGGAAUACUGCAUAACUAGGAAGUGGGAGAGGUAGACGGUACUCGGGAGGAAGGGGUAAAAUCCUUUGAUCUCUUGAUGACCACCUGUGGCGAAAGCGGUCUACCAGAACACGUUCGACGGUGAGGGAUGAAAGCUGGGGGAGCAACCGGGAUUAGAUACCCGGGUUAGUCCAGCUGUAACUAUGCAACUCAGUGAUGCAUGCCCUGCUGUCGAUGCAGUUGCUUGCCACG
rnacentral:rRNA from 1 species